GCUAAGCGCCAGGUCGCGGGAUCGAAUUCCGGCCACGGCGGCCGCAUUUCGAUGGGGGCGAAAACACCUGUGUACUUAGAUUUAGGUGCCCGUUAAAUGAACCCCAGGUGGUCCAAAUUAUUCCAAAGCCCUCCCCCCGGCGACAGCGUACCUCAUAAUGAAAUCGUGGUUUUGGCACGUCCACUGACACGCGAGUCCCGAACCUUAAUUCCUAUGUUUUUAAAUCCACUAUGAGAGCGACCGACGCGCUUAAUUGAUGCGCCGUUUUCGGGGAAGCAGAGUUCCAUGUGAGUCAUUUUCGCGUUCGCUCUCUGUUCGCACUUUUAUGCCCGCUGAACUCUCAUAUUUCAGUACGACUUUUGUGCGCCGAGUUUUCGCUGCUGUCGGCCUUGGCGGGGAAAAGUACAGAGUCUGGCGGUGAAAAAAAAAAGGAAAACGGUGUAAAGGUCUGCGCUCUCGCGUCGCCGGCUGCAUAUGCACCGGCUCUGCGUUCGCCGGCAGUCGCCUGAAGAAAGGUUGGGCUUUAACCUCGCCGACAACAAAGGCCGGCGACCGUCGCUCCGCCGUACAGGAAAGAGCUGUCAGGGUGCGGCAGCAGUGGCACUUACAGUUCUGCGACAGGCGGUACUUUCUCAUACUGCUUGCGUCUCCUGAAACAAAAACCAUUUCGAUGCCAUGAGCGAAACACCGCCGAACCCAUUUCGCUUCGUCAUUGAACCAAGGGCGGGAAAACGGUCCACGCUGCCGCCGGAGCACGGCAAGGACCCGCUCGCAGUGUACAGCUGCGCCAAUUACGCCAAAUUGCGCCGAGAGUGUCCCCUUGCGUCAUCCUGCGCGAAAACGGCAUUUUAGCGAAAAAUUGCGCCGAGUCUGCGCCAAAGCAAGCAUACAAGCGAAACCCUCCUUGCUUCCAUGCUUCGCAGCUAGCAAAACUGAGAUCAAAGCCAACAGCACGCCAUGGUCACCAUCGUAGAAGCAAGCAGAGGCCCGUCGGAGUAAAUCCGAGUCAUCCGGUUCGUCAUAUUCCCGCAUUUUUCUUCUUUUUUUUUUCUGACAGACGUACCAUGUAAUGCCGAUGUACCGUCUUGCUGGAGCUUAAUUUCGUGUUCAUCGAUCCGGCGUGGUACCGCGGAGUUUGCCGAAGGAGGAUGUCACAUUCUAGUAUUAAAGGUCUGACUCAUCUUCACUUCCCGGAACCAAUACAAGGAAGUGAUCAGCGUGGUCGAGGUCAAGUUAUGGAUCGAGUGUCAUUUAGGAUGGUAACGCUCCUGCGGCAAAACAGAUCCUGCUGGACUAUACACGGCGUCUAUCAUAUAUCCCCCUAUGUUGAUUUUGAGAUGUUACAUACAUUAAACCACAUCAAUCAGUG